CCCGCGGUCUGCGUCGGGAGCAGGAAGCAUGCGCGGCGGCUGGGAGCUGGGCGCCGCGGCUGGAGGCCCGCUGCUGCUGUGCGCCGCGCUGCUGGCCGUGGGCUGCGCACUGGGCCUGCGCCUGGGCCGCGGGCUGGGGGCUGCGGACCGCGGGGCGCUAGCCUGGCUCUGCUUCGACGCCCUGGUGCACUUCGCACUGGUAAAUUGCAUUAAUCAACACCUGGUCCUGCAAUUGAGCUUUGCUAGAAGGAGAAACAGACAGAAAAACAAACCAUUAUCGUGCAGUCUGGAAGGCCCUUUUGUCUACUUGUCUUUGGUAGGAAACAUCACAGAUUCUGAUGCCUUGAUCGCUUCAUUGUGGAAAGAAUAUGGCAAAGCUGACGCAAGAUGGCUUUAUUUGGAUCCAACUAUUGUGUCUUUGGAAAUUCUGACUGUCGUUCUGGGUGGGUUUCUGGCAUUGGUUCUCAUUUAUGCCAUCGUCGAAGAGAAACAUUAUCGGUUCUGAACAUAUGACAUCGCCGCUGCCUCCAUGUGAGAGACAAUCUCAGAAUCAACAAUUAGACGUGCCAGGCGCUCAGGCCUGGAGCGGAACAACCGGCCGAAACCUGGGGCUUCUGAGCAGGCACAUCAGAAAGAAUAAAAGGAAACAUUCUGCUUGUGCUUCAGAGAAGAGGGAUUUUCAUCAGCACCUGGAUGGAACGUUGUCAGCACCAGGAGAGACCAGAAGAACCUGGGAAAAUAAGUGACAGAGCCUCCUGCGGUGAGGGAGCUGGAAACAGCUACGACUACUGUCCAGCCCUCCAGCUCCCAGGCUCAAAGCACCCAUGCUUUGAGUUCCUCAGCCUUCAGAGAGGAGGUGGUAGCUGGAUGUACUGUCCCCAGACACUGUUGUAGGGAAAGGCUUCCAGGUGCCGCAGAGAUUGGGGAAUAGAGGAAACAUGCCCACUGUUGAGGAUUUUGAUGUAAUGAUUAUAAUGGUAAUGGUACUGGCAGGCACCAUUUACUGGGUUCUUUAUGUUAGGCGUUUAAUGAUCUCAUUUCCUCCUCUUGACCACUGUGCCAGGUAGGUAUCAUUAUCACCUUUUUAUUAAGAAAAAGCUGAGGUUCAGAGAGGCAAAGUAACUAUGCUUUCAGCUGCAAGUGGCUGAAACUAGGUUUUCUUAUGAUCUCACACGACCGACGUAGGUAAGGAGGGAGGCGGUUCCAGGUUGGUUGGGCAGCUCAGCAGUGUCAUCCAGGAGCCAAUCUCUUUCCACAUUUCUGCUUUGGCAUCAACUUGUGGGUGAUGUUUCCUUUCCUCGGUGCAGCAACACCAAGCUUCUCGUCUUCACACAACCGAAUUCAAAAGCAGGAAGAAGGGAAAGGUGGCAGUCUUCUCGUGUGUUUGUGUGCGUGUGUGUGUGUGUGUGUGUGUGUGUGUGUGUGUGUGUGUAUUUAUUUUAUCAGGAAGGAAAUAUUCCCCCAAAGCCUCCCAGUCAAUUUUAUCUGAUAUCUCAUUGUCCAAGAGAAUGAAACAACUUGGUUUGGCCAGGCAGGGUUCACCUCUGUCUCUGUCUUGUACUGUCUCUGUCUCUCGACAGCUGAGUAAAGUUGCACUAUUCUUAGUGAGAAGAAAGUGGGAAUAGUGUUGGGUGGGCAACAGUGUCUACUGCAUUUCUCCAGUAUUCCAUGGUAGAGGGUUGUCUUCUUACACACAUGCUUUCUUCCAAGAUCGUCUUUAACAUGAGUUAACAGUGUGUGUGCGUGCACACGCGUGUGUGUGCCAGCAGGCAUGUCCCAGGUGCUCACACUUGGUUGCUUGUGUAGCCUGGUCGUCGAGUCCAAAGAUAAGAAAUCAGUGGAAAUGCUGCAGUAAUUCUUGCUUGCUAUCUUGCAAAUGAGAGACAGGGCAGGAUAGCGAGGCUGGAUUAGUGAGGCACCAUCAUGUAUUAAGGAAGAAGGCAGGCUGAAGAACGAGGAGAUCUGGAUUCUAGCCCCAGAUCUGCUACUUUCUAUCUGUGUUACCUUGGGUAAGUUAUUUCAUCUUUCUGAACCUCAGUUAUCUCAACUGUAAAGCAAGAAGGUUGGACUAGUUCAUCUCUAAAUUUUGUUCAGCUCUAAUAUUCUAUAGUUACAGUGCGAUUUUUACUGAGCAGCUACGAGCAGUGCUCUGUACAGUCUAUCACAUUAUUUUUUUAAAAACCUUUCAAAAUGCGUCUACAUGCCAUGUGAAUGGAAGAGGUCAACAUUAUUCAUGUAUAUGGAGACUAGGACAUCAUGUAACAGAAUUAGAUGUAGAAUAUAGUAUUGCAGACUCUUUUUAAAUGUCUUUAUUUUGCAUUACAAAUUGUACUUUGAGUUAUUAUCACUUUAACUGGCUUGUGUUUUACAUUUGCAGCACAGCUCAUCUGCCAGAACUUUUCACUGUUUCUAGUUUCCAUUUUAUUGGAAGCACCAUCUCUUUAUAACUGAGUAAAGAACACGGCAGAGUCGGGGGAAAUUUUUGUGCCUGUCUCUUUUUACUCUCUCUCUCUCUCUCUCACUCUGAACAUAAAUAGUAUCUUGGCAGCUGAUCUUUGUCGUUUAAAAAAAACACACAUGAAAAGGAAACAGCAGCGGAUGAUCUGCUUUCUGAAACAGUGUAAGAAAGAUCUGAAGAGUGUUAGCUUUGCACUGAAGCUCCUUCAGCUUCUGCUUUUACAAUAUUUGCAGGUAGUUUCCUGACACUAAGGGGGAAAAGAAACAGUGGCCAGAGACUGUCUCCUGAAAAUAUGCAGGAAGGAUAAUGUGGAGGCCGAGACAGACGUGUGUGAUGAGCUCCAGCCGUGCCUCAAAACAGGAACUGAUGACAGGGAGGUUUUGCUAUUUAUCAUCCAAGGUUGUUUUAAUAUGCAAAGUAGGUCCUCAGCGGCAGCUGCUCUUCAGUCAGCCACAUUUCCUGAACUGGCUAGUGUAUUUUUAGUUGACAGGAAGAAAACCACUUGGUUAGGAAGGAGCUCGGAUGGUCAUGUCUCAGAAACUCAGAUCAGCACUUGAGACUUUACUACAUUUCCCAGACGAGUUACUGUCACUCUGGGCAGCAAGCAACAGAGUGUUUACUUCAAUUCUCUUCUUUUUAUUAAAAAUCAUUACAUAAGUUUUGAUGGAUAUAUUUUUCUGUAUGAGCGUCAAACAAUAUAAAAGUCUACAAGGUGAAAUGCCUAAGCUCACCCUCCAAAUCACUACUCCCUUCCUCAGAGAUAAUCAGAAUCCACAGUUUGAUGUACAUUUUUACAGUGAUAUUUCUAUAAUAUACUCACAUAUUUUGGAGCAGACAGAUAUUUUAUUUUAUUUUUUUUGUUUG